UACGUAGGGCGCAAGCGUUAUCCGGGAUUAUUGGGCGUAAAGAGCUCGUAGGCGGUUUGUCGCGUCUGCCGUGAAAGUCCGGGGCUCAACUCCGGAUCUGCGGUGGGUACGGGCAGACUAGAGUGAUGUAGGGGAGACUGGAAUUCCUGGUGUAGCGGUGAAAUGCGCAGAUAUCAGGAGGAACACCGAUGGCGAAGGCGGGUCUCUGGGCAGUAACUGACGCUGAGGAGCGAAAGCGUGGGGAGCGAACAGG
rnacentral:rRNA from 1 species